GACGAACGCUGGCGGCGUGCCUAAUACAUGCAAGUCGAACGCUGAAGGAGGAGCUUGCUCUUCUGGAUGAGUUGCGAACGGGUGAGUAACGCGUAGGUAACCUGCCUGGUAGCGGGGGAUAACUAUUGGAAACGAUAGCUAAUACCGCAUAAGAGUAGAUGUUGCAUGACAUUUACUUAAAAGGUGCAAUUGCAUCACUACCAGAUGGACCUGCGUUGUAUUAGCUAGUUGGUGGGGUAACGGCUUACCAAGGCGACGAUACAUAGCCGACCUGAGAGGGUGAUCGGCCACACUGGGACUGAGACACGGCCCAGACUCCUACGGGAGGCAGCAGUAGGGAAUCGUCGGCAAUGGACGGAAGUCUGACCGAGCAACGCCGCGUGAGUGAAGAAGGUUUUCGGAUCGUAAAGCUCUGUUGUAAGAGAAGAACGAGUGUGAGAGUGGAAAGUUCACACUGUGACGGUAUCUUACCAGAAAGGGACGGCUAACUACGUG
rnacentral:rRNA from 1 species